UGUGAAAUUGUCCCUAGUGUGUAAGGAAUGGAUUCUAAAGUGGGAUAUCCCAGAACUGGUGUGAAC